rnacentral:rRNA from 1 species
GACGGGGGGGGGCAAGUGUUCUUCGGAAUGACUGGGCGUAAAGGGCACGUAGGCGGUGAAUCGGGUUGAAAGUGAAAGUCGCCAAAAAAGUGGCGGAAUGCUCUCGAAACCAAUUCACUUGAGUGAGACAGAGGAGAGUGGAAUUUCGUGUGUAGGGGGUGAAAUCCGUAGAUCUACGAAGGAACGCCAAGAGCGAAGGCAGCUCUCUGGGUCCCUACCGACGCUGGGGUGCGAAAGCAUGGGGGAGCGAACAGG